GGGAUUGCCCUAGUAACGGCGAGUGAAGCGGCAACAGCUCAAAUUUGAAAUCUGGCGCAAGCCCGAGUUGUAAUUUGUAGAGGAUGCUUCUGGGUAGCGACCGGUCUAAGUUCCUUGGAACAGGACGUCAUAGAGGGUGAGAAUCCCGUAUGUGACCGGCCCGCACCCUGUACGUAGCUCCUUCGACGAGUCGAGUUGUUUGGGAAUGCAGCUCUAAAUGGGAGGUAAAUUUCUUCUAAAGCUAAAUACCGGCCAGAGACCGAUAGCGCACAAGUAGAGUGAUCGAAAGAUGAAAAGUACUUUGGAAAGAGAGUUAAAAAGCACGUGAAAUUGUUGAAAGGGAAGCGCCUGCAAUCAGACUUCGCGGCAGUGUUCCGUCGGUCUUCUGACCGGCCUACUCUCUGCCGCGAGGCCAUCAUCGUCUUGGCCCGCUGGAUAAGACCUUGGGAAUGUAGCUCACCUUCGGGGGAGUGUUAUAGCUUAGGGUGAUGCAGCGCGGCUGGGGCGAGGUCCGCGCUUCGGCAAGGAUGAUGGCGUAAUGGUUGUCGGCGGCCCGUCUUGAAACACGGACCAAGGAGUCUAACAUCUAUGCGAGUGUUCGGGUGUCAAACCCCUACGCGUAAUGAAAGUGAACGGAGGUGGGAACCGCAAGGUGCACCAUCGACCGAUCCUGAUGUCCUCGGAUGGAUUUGAGUAAGAGCAUAGCUGUUGGGACCCGAAAGAUGGUGAACUAUGCCUGAAUAGGGUGAAGCCAGAGGAAACUCUGGUGGAGGCUCGCAGCGGUUCUGACGUGCAAAUCGAUCGUCAAAUUUGGGUAUAGGGGCG
rnacentral:rRNA from 1 species